rnacentral:rRNA from 1 species
UACGUAGGGGGCAAGCGUUGUCCGGAUUUAUUGGGCGUAAAGCGCGUGUAGGCGGCCAGGUAGGUCCGCUGUGAAAACCCGAGGCUCAACCUCGGGACGUCGGCGGAAACCAUUUGGCUAGAGUCCGGAAGAGGAGAGUGGAAUUCCCGGUGUAGCGGUGAAAUGCGCAGAUAUCGGGAAGAACACCCGUGGCGAAGGCGGCUCUCUGGGACGGUACUGACGCUGAGACGCGAAAGCGUGGGGAGCGAACAGG